GGCCCGUUCGUCUAUCGGUUAGGACGCCAGGUUUUCAACCUGGAAAGACGAGUUCGAUUCUCGUACGGGCUGCCA
rnacentral:tRNA from 15 species